CCUUUUGCUGGGGGCAAGAAGUAAAGAUUGCAGUGAGUUCAUGCUGUUCAUGGACUUGGACCUUGUGAUGGGGACGCAGAACAGCUUAAUGCUAUAGCUAUAAGGUAAUCCUAUAGCUCUAAGGCGCAGUUGACCUGUUGCAAUGUAGUUGGUAUCAGAACAUCUGUCUCUGGAGCUCCAGAGAAUUAAUCGUUCGAAGUAUUCCAUAUGCGGACGGCUCCUUUUGUCAAAAGUGGAGAUUUGUGGGAGAAAUCCAAUUGUAAAGAAGCUUUAUGGGAUUUUUAUCAGAAAGAGCCUGGGAAACAACUGUAUUUCAUUCAAUUAACUCUUUUUUCUUUGGCAAAAGGGUUGAUUUUAUUUUUUAAUGCAAAUUGGAGGAGUGUUUUUGACAGGAGUGAAAACAGAUGCAGAAGAAGUUCCCCAGCUUAGCUCCACGUGUAUUUUAGUGACCGAGAUGGCUGUAGCAUCGUCCUAACAAAAGCUGUCAGCAAAGGGACUGUGAACGUCCCUGAGAAGAGUCUUGCUCAGUUUUCUGGAUGUGGCGACAGCGCUGCUUUGAUUACAAGCUGGAGCCCAAGGUCGUUUUGCUGCCGGGGAAGACUCAGCCCUGACCAUCCCUGCGAGAUGUUCGUCCAAGGGUCUCACGAAAACGCUUCAGCAUCUUUUCCCCUAAUGGUUUUCCUUAAAGCAGGAAUGCAACACCCCUAAUUGCAAAUUAAGCCGAGACCGUCAUCACCUCGGUGGCUGCGGAGCACGCCUGAUUUGCAAGACAUGGAGAUAUUAAUAUUUCCAAACACAAGUAGGAUAGCAACCCGCUAACUCUAUAUAUAACACAUUAUAUAUAAUGUGCAGCUUAAUACCCUUUGCAUUUAUGUUCCUGUUACUUUUUUCGAUGCACAAGCAUCACUAUUUCAGCUCAUUCUGCGGGCUGUGCUGUUCCCCAAUUCCCUUCCACCGUAACACUGUGUAGCCAGAUAUCCCCCCAUUUACUAUUUCUGUACCCACCUGUUGUCUUUAUCCUCUCAAUCCAGCCCAUUUUUGUCUUUCUCCUCUUGAUCCAGCCCAGUUUUCAAGUUUUGAGCCAUUGGAAUGUCCCUCAAAGGGCUGGAUGUGUCCCCUUGUCCCAGCAGCAACGUCUGCCAUGGGCUGGACUCUCCGAUCCCCCUGUUUAGAAGACAAAACCACAAAUCAGUCUUGGUGUUUGGGGCAAUAAUUCGCUCCCAGCCCCUCCUGAGUGACCCUCAGCCUUUCUCCAUGUCACCUGGGACAGGACAGGACCACAGGAGGGGACAUUUCUAUUCCAACCCUCCUCUUAAACACAAUUUGCUUGUCAUUUCUCCCCCUUGCGACCCGCAAGUCUGAUUUUUAUGUACCAUGGUAAAUGUUGUGCCUUGAAAAGACCCACACAUGAAUAAGAAAUCAGGCUGUCACUCCGCCGUGCUCCUUUUAAAGAGAAAUUGCUUAAAGCAGCAAGAACGACGUCUAAUCUUGGGAGCCCAGGAGCCGGCGUUGGUGAGCGGCUGCGCGGGGUCAUUGCAGCUUGUGCUCAUGAAUAAUGAAUCUGAGACCGUCGCUAUGCAAAUGUCACCUAACAAGCUCCAAACUAAAUAAAAAUCUUGUUUAUUACGUCAA